rnacentral:rRNA from 1 species
CCUACGGGAGGCUGCAGUCGAGGAUCUUCGGCAAUGGGCGCAAGCCUGACCGAGCGACGCCGCGUGUGGGAUGAAGGCCUUCGGGUUGUAAACCACUGUCGGAGGGGAUGAAAUGCCCUGGGGUUCUCCCCAGGGCUUGACAUAGCCUCAAAGGAAGUACGGGCUAAGUUCGUGCCAGCAGCCGCGGUAAGACGAACCGUACGAACGUUAUUCGGAAUCACUGGGCUUAAAGGGUGCGUAGGCGGCGCGGAAAGUUGGGUGUGAAAGCCCUCGGCUCAACCGAGGAAUUGCGCCCAAUACUACCGUGCGUGAGUGAGAUAGAGGUGAGCGGAACUUAGGGUGGAGCGGUGAAAUGCGUUGGUAUCCUAAGGAACACCGGUGGCGAAAGCGGCUCACUGGAUCUUUUCUGACGCUGAGGCACGAAAGCUAGGGGAGCAAACGGGAUUAGAUACCCCUGUAGUC